AUGUCCUUUUCUUUAACCGAGUCAGACUUGGAAGCACUAUUAGUGUUGCAUCCUUUCUCUUUCCAGAAUCAGAAGACCAAGCACAGUAAUAGCCCUCAGUCCCCCAGCUGCCCUUACCCAUCACUCAUCUCUGAAGGAUACCCAAGGCUAAGCUGGGUCUCACUUCUUGUGAUGCCCCGUAGGAGGAAGAAAACCAAGAUGCAUGAAUCAGACCCACAGCUAAAUGAAAGAUUUGAACCAGGAAGGCCCCUUGGUAUCUUCAGUUACUUCUACGGAUGCUGGAAAGUCCUGCAAGAAGGAAGGGGCUUGAGCACAUUCAGAAACAUGCAGAGUGUGUACCAUGAGUCACUGCCCUUGGAGAUAAGAAAAGUCAAGUUGUCCUUGGAGAGCAUCUACUCUGCGGUCCGGAGGAAGAUGGUCAAGACCUUGGCUUCCUGGUGAGGAAACACACCUCUUUAGAGGUACUACAAUGAUGGCACUCAAGGGACAUCCUGGAAAACUUCGGCAAAAAGUCAUCUAGGCUUUUUAAAAUCAUUACAAAUACACACACGUGCAUGCACAGUCAGCAUCUCUUGGGUCUUACAAUGUGCAGCAGAGGAAUUUAAAAGGAAUCACUGUAGCCUAAUCGGGAGCUCAUUCUUACAUUCUCAUGGGAAGAGCUAGAACGCAUUUAGCCCCAAACUGAAGGGCAGAGGGAGGAACUGUGGCUGAGGAGAGAGAGGUCCUAGGGACUCUUAACCCAGAUUGCCUCUGCUCACUCCAUGUUGCUUUGCCAAGUUCCCUGUUACUCCUCUAAGUCAUUACCUGCCCUCUCUGCAUUUUCCUCUGAGACAGAUCAAGCCACCAGAUGUGUCCAGAUGGACCAGAUGCAUGGUCUUACUGGCUUUCUGUUUGGAUUUGCAGAAACAUGUUGAGUCUCUAAGUGGGAAGUACAGAUAACCAGGAGGGUGUUAGUAGAACUGGUGGGUGAAGAACGGGCUUUGAAGAGAAGCCAGCUGAGACUUUGUGGCUGAGCUGAGAGGAAGAGGCCCCUUUUAGUCACUAGAGACCAGUCCCAAGGUUUUAGCCAGAUCAAAUGCUUGAAUUGCUUUCUUUUAAAACAUAUGUAUGAGAACGCUUAGCUGGCCUGGAAUUUUCAAAUGAUUUACGUUGUGGACAGAGAAAGUGGGAGGAUAUUUAUGCAUACACCAGGUUAUUCAUUGUGUAAACCCUCAAAAUGCAUCUGUGUCAAAAAUGAGCAUGUCCUUAUUGAAUACACAUGACCCGAGGGGGACCUGCGCCCUCUCCCCCUUCUGUUAGAUGGAACCUCUAGGAAUGGCCAUAGUUGCCUCGCUUCCUGACAGCCAGGCAGUCCCAAGCCAGGAUAUGAAAAUAGAAUGGGUCUGAGGUCCCCCUCUCCUCCAGGGUUUACAGAAUCAGGGGGGAACCUUGGACAAAGUUCUCACCAAGAAACCUUAGGUUUAAGUAAUUCUGUAGAUUUGAAAAGGUAGCUUCACAUUCUGAAUUACUCGUGACUCAUCAAAAG
rnacentral:lncRNA from 1 species